rnacentral:rRNA from 1 species
GACGAACGCUGGCGGCGUGCUUAACACAUGCAAGUCGAACGGAAAGGUCCCUUUGGGGGUACUCGAGUGGCGAACGGGUGAGUAACACGUGAGUAACCUGCCCUUGACUUCGGGAUAACUUCAGGAAACUGGGGCUAAUACCGGAUAGGAAUCCUUGCUGCAUGGUGGGGGUUGGAAAGCUUCGGCGGUUUUGGAUGGACUCGCGGCUUAUCAGCUUGUUGGUGGGGUAGUGGCUUACCAAGGCUUUGACGGGUAGCCGGCCUGAGAGGGCGACCGGCCACAUUGGGACUGAGAUACGGCCCAGACUCCUACGGGAGGCAGCAGUGGGGAAUAUUGCACAAUGGGCGGAAGCCUGAUGCAGCAACGCCGCGUGCGGGAGGACGGCCUUCGGGUUGUAAACCGCUUUCAGCAGGGGCGAAGCUUGUGGUGACGGUACCUGCAGAAGAAGCACCGGCUAACUACGUG